UGGCAGGUCCACUGCCACAGUCAACUGUGUUGUAAAGAGAAGAAAGCAAUAAGAACCAACAAAGCAUGAAAAAGCUGCCUAAAAUGUUAGUUCCACUCCUACCUUUGCAAUAAAUAUUGAUAGACUACAGUAAGAACAUUACCACCAAGACAUAAGAUAACUAAGGCUUUACUGAGCUGAGCUCUUGCUGGAUACCAGGCAUAAAAAAAAGCU